rnacentral:misc_RNA from 1 species
GAUGAAGAACGCAGCGAAAUGCGAUAAGUAAUGUGAAUUGCAGAAUUCAGUGAAUCAUCGAAUCUUUGAACGCACCUUGCGCCCUUUGGCUAUUCUGAAGGGCAUGCCUGUUUGAGUAUCGUGAACACCUCAACUCUCAUGGUCUGCCAUGAUGAGCUUGGACUUUGGGGGUCUUGCUGGCCUACUGUCAGCUCCUCUCAAAUGAAUCAGCUUACCAGUGUUUGGUGGCACCACAGGUGUGAUAACUAUCUACGCUUGUGGUUUUUCCACCAGGUAACCUUCAGCAGUGGAGGUUCGCUGGAGCUCAUAGAUGUCUCUCCUCGGUGAGGACAGCCCUUUGAACGUUUGAUCUCAAAUCAGGUAGGACUACCCGCUGAACUUAAGCAUAUCAAUAAGCGGAGGA